rnacentral:rRNA from 1 species
UACGGGGGGUGCAAGCGUUGUCCGGAAUCACUGGGCGUAAAGGGCGCGUAGGUGGUCUGAUAAGGGUGUGGUGAAAGCCCGGGGCUCAACCCCGGGUCGGCCGUGCCGACUGUUGGACUAGAGUGCUGUAGGGGCAGGCGGAAUUCCGGGUGUAGCGGUGGAAUGCGUAGAGAUCCGGAGGAAGACCGGUGGCGAAGGCGGCCUGCUGGGCAGUUACUGACACUGAGGCGCGACAGCGUGGGGAGCAAACAGG